CAACAGGUCCACCAGGUGUGCAUUAAUUGCGGUGUAUGCAUGAGAAAAUACUUCUGUGCAACAUGCAAGUUGUUCGAUGAUGAUACCUCAAAGCAGCAUUAUCAUUGCAAUGGUUGCGGAAUCUGCAGAAUAGGUGGCAGGGAGAAAUUUUCAAAAAACAUUUCUUGUACAAGGAAAUGGUGGAUGCAUCAAUAGAUGUGAAUGGUAUUAACUCUUUAGAUUGGCACGUUGGCUAGCAAUUGUUGGGAACCACCAGCCACCAAGUUUACUUUUGUGAGCAAGAGGAAAAGUGUAUUCAUGAGGAAUGGUUUCCAUGCUUCAGUCUUUAAUUCAGAUGUAAGCCAGGGAGAGCCAGAGGUUGUUGUAGAUAGCAAUUCUUUGCCAUCUGAUGGCACUCAUAAUAUGGAGGUUAGUGAUAAUGAACUCUAACAGUCUAAGAUUGCUUUAUCUGAGGCUAGAUCCAUACAAGAAACUAUUGAAAAAGACAUAUCGGCUUGUGGAAGAGUUGGCUCGGUUAGAAGGGAUCUAUCAGUGAGAAGUUUGAUUUAGAAUCAAAAUUGGUGCUUGAGAAACAAGAAGAUGUUGAGCUUGCAGUGCAAGUUGAGAAGUUGGCAGAGCUUGCUUUUCAGCAAGCAACUUCUCAUCUUUUAGAAGAAGCACAUUUGAGGGUCUUUGCAGCAGAGACUGCUGCUGUAGAAGCAGUUCAUCACAUUGCGGAACAGAUAAGACAUGCCACAGAGGGUACCAUAUCCUCAAUUCUUGAUCAAUCAAAACAGGCCAUAUGUAAAGCUUUAUUUGCUGCCGAACAAGCCAGUAACCAUGCAGAAAAGGCCGUUUCUACUUCCUCUGGUGGCAAUAAUUUGUUGGAUGAGAUUGCAGCAGUUCGUUGUCAGAAUUUAGGACUGCAGGAUGCUGUCAAUGGCUUGGAAUCUAAAUUACUGGUUGCAGAAAGAGAGAUUGAGAGAUAGAAUGAAGUUGUAUAGAAUUGAUGGUGUCGCCUGUGUAGGAUUCAUGUCAAGCAAUAAUAUAAAUGUUGGCAAUUAAUGAGUCAAUGAAGGAUUU